rnacentral:lncRNA from 1 species
GUUCAAUUAAAAACCUACAGAUACCAGAUAAAACGUCGGAUGAUCACAGUGGACACACAGAGGCGUAGAGGAUGACCGGAAGUGCCAGGGCACCUAAGGUUCUCAGGGAAGAGCUGAUUUCUGAGCCAAGACCUGAAGGAGCUGGUAAGGGAGAGUCAGUAUCGAGGGAAGAGCUGCCACAGAGAACAGGUGCAGAGGCCCCAAGGCUGCUGCACACCCGCCCGCAGAGAGCAGGGGAGCCCGCAGAGAGCAGCGGAGCCCGCAGAGAGCAGCGGAGCCCGUGGGGCAGGGGAGCCAUGCCAGGGCUGGAAUCAGAGAAACCAGCAGACCAGAGAGGACUUGCACCAUGGGCAAGGACUUCACUUUUCCCCUGGAAAGUCCUUUUGUCCUUUGAACGUGCCAAGAGGGAUGUGCAGUGGAGGAGCAGGAAGUGAGUGCUCCCAGACUCAGGGUGGCCCCCACCAGGCCAGGUCGGGGCAGGAGGAGCACUGAGCCCAGACUCAGGGUGGCCCAGGGCAGCAGAGCGGGCAGGCACCAGGAGAGGAAGCCUCUCCCAAGAGUGCUACUGCAGGGCGAUGGGGCCAGCGAGGAGGGUCUAGGGCCAAGGGUCGGAGCAGUUCCAGGA